CAGGGAUCAGAUCCGAGCCACAGUUUCGACCUAUGCCAUGGUUGUGCUAAGGGAUCCUUAACCCACUGUGCUGGGCUGGGGGACUGAACCUGCCUCCCAGUGCUCCAGAGAUCCUGUUGAUUCCUUUACCCACAGUGGGAACUCCUGUGGCUGCAUAUUUGGCACCACUUGCCGGGACUCAGCCUCUCGGCUUUGCUUUGUCGCUGGGUCUCUGUACUGCCCUGAAUUUUGCUGCUUCCUGGAGUUGGGGACCCACUGCUUCCCUGACCUUUCCUGAUUGGACAAUUUGGAAAAAGCAAACAGGGCAGCCCCUCACAAGACUCAUUUGCCCACAGACAUAAGUGAUAUCCUCCAACUUGAAGCUUUAUUAACAAUAGAACUAUGAUAUUUGGAGUGGAUGAGCAAUGAGGUCCAACUGCACAGCACAGGAGACUCUAUCCAGCUUCUUGGGAUAGAAUAUGAUGAAAGAUCAUAUAAAAAAAGGGAAUGUAUAUAUCUGUAUGGCUGGGUCCCUACGCUGUACAGCAGAAAUUGACACAACACUGUAAAUCAAAUAACUCUACAAGUUAUUUUUGAAAUGGAAUGACAAAAAUAAACAAACUAAACCAGUAGAACUGACAGUCCAGUUUCCAGAGGUGUCAUGGCAUACUGGUGAAGGGACAGAUCUCUGGAGUCAGAGUACUUGAGUUCAAAGUUUAGCUCUGCCAAUAACUGGUAAGUAAAUUGUGCAAACCCUAAGUCCCACUGAGCCUUGGUUUCUCUUCUAUAAAAGGGAGAAAAUAAUAGAACCUACCUUAUAGGUUUAUUGACAACACUGGAUGUAUUAGUAUGUAUAAAACAUUUAGAACAGUGCCUGCCCCUGGUAAGUAGUACACGGGUGUUUAACUACUUGUUUGAACAGUGCCAUCUGUGGAUGAGUUCACGGGUGACUGUGGCCCAAAGCAGUGCGUGCUCCCUGGUUACAGUCAGCAGUUUAUUCAGAACUUGCUCAGGGAACGUGGACAAUGAACACUGGGCCCCUCAGUCACUCAAAUCCCCAUCUCUGCUCUUCCAAGGGUCCCCGGCACCAUUGCCACCACUUCAGAGUCCCAGCCUCUUCUAGCAAUCCCACCUGCUGGAAGUCCCGUGGAUUCCUGCUUCACUACCUCUGUGUUACUUUUGUAGUUUUUUUUUUUUUUUCCUUUUUAGGGCUGUACCUGCAGCAUAUGGAAGUUCCCAGGCUAGGGGUCAAAUCAGAGCUGUGGCUACCAGCCUACACCACAGCCACAGCAACUAGGGAUCCAAGCCACAUCUGCAGCUCACACUAGAUCCUGGGAUCUGCCAGAUUCCAGGGAUCCAAUCCACAUCCUCAUGGAUACUACUCAGGUUCUUAACCUGCUGAGCCAUAACGGGAACUCCACUUUUCUAGUGCUUAAGUAGGCUGUAUUCUCCACUGGAAAGGAGGGAAGACAAUUGGAAAUGGAGUGUCUUCUCCUCGGCUGUGAGUUAUCAUCACACCAUUCACCCAGGCUGGGGGCCUGUCCCCUGGUUGUUCACAUGGUUGACUCAGAGUUAAUGCACACCCUUCUCCUUUUCCUCGGCUGUCCUCCGGAUUACAACCAUCAGGAAACUGUUCUUGCUGAUAUGAGCCUCUGCUAGGUGAUCAUCUUAGGUUACUGGCCCUCUGUUGAUCUUUAGCAGGCUUCUUUUAAAACUAAGCUCUUGGAGUUCCUGUUGUGGCUCAGUGGGUUAAGGAUCUAGCGUUGCCUCAAGCUGCAGCAUAGGUCACAGUUGCCGCUCUGAUCCUGCAUUGCUGUGGCUGUGGUGUGGGCCGGCAGCUGCAGCUCCGAUUCAACCCCUGGCCUGGGAACUUCUAUGUGCUGUGGGGAAGCCCUAAAAAGAAAACAAACCAAAAAACCCCUAAGUUCUUUAAGGAGACACACUGACCCCCAAAGCCAUUAACUGCCUUGUGCCCUCCCUCAUCUGGGAACCCGUUGUUGGCUGACUGCCCCGUGCCAAGUCUAUGAGAAAUGAAGAUAUCAGCCAGCCCAGAGGAAUGUGUACUUGAGUUGUGCCUAAACCCUGCUCCUGGGGGUCCCCGGAUCCUGUAGGGGCUCCUCAGUGAGAGAGAGUGUGUGCGGGUGUGUGUGUGUGUGUGUGUGUGUCUGAUCGCCAGGUCCUUAAUCCACUGAUCGAGGCCAGGGAUUGAACCCGUGUCCACACGGAUACCCGUCGGGUAUGUUUCAGCCGAGCCACGACAGGAACUCCUAGGAUUCCAUCCAAAGACAUGAUGGCAUUCUUUAAAAAAAGUUUGAAAACCAUUGACCUAAUUUUUUCCACUGAAUGGCUUUUUAUAGUGGUUGGACACUUCUUGCAGCUUGAGUUUGGCCAACAAAAUGACAGAGCAAUCUGGCCAAGCAUGGACACUAGUCACACCAGUGUCAAACAGAGGGGACCUCUGAAGCUGUCCUCUAGCUGAAAGGCUCACCUUCCGUAUUCCAGAAAGACCUCAAGGGUCAAGGCUAGUAUUAUUUGCCUUACUAAGUCUAUGAUGGGGAAGGAGGAGGAGAGGGCAGUACCACAUAUAAACUGACUCUAAAGGCAAUCUCAUAAGAGUUCCCAAAAUAUAUUAAGCAGUGACAACGCCGUUGAAAUAAGUUUAUGGCCCCUACAAAUGCUAGAAGCUCUAAAAUAAGCUCUCACAAUCUUUUUAGAGAACUCAAAAUAGCAAACUGUAACUUUCCAAAGGGCAAGAGCCCAGACUGUGCUUUAUUAACCUUGGGGAGGGGAGUUCAUUAGGACAACACAUUACAGAUCUAAGAAAAUCAAGGAUUGGCUAUUUGCUCAAUCACUGAACUAAGAAACCACAUCUAAUGUAACCAAUUAGAAUAGUUGGCUCAUUCUGCUUUUAUAAACAUUUUAAAAGGAUCCAUAGAGUUGCAUGGGCCUAGAACAUUUCUGGAUGAUGCCUUAAAGUGGAAACUUCGUGAAACACAUCUUUAUUCCCCCCUGCGUUGUUCAUUAAUGUGUCAUGAGGUGAUGCCUGACAUAUAACACUUGUUCAAUAGACAUGUGUUGAGUGGUAAAGUGGUCGCCUCUGGGCAGUAGGACUGCGGGUUUGUGGAACCACUACUGUUCAGCUUAUAUCCACGAUGGGACCUAGAUGGGGAGGGUGGGAGGAAUGCCUUCUCCCUUCCUUGUCCUUUUACCUUUGUUCAAGGAAGAGGGAGGAACACCUGCUGUUGGUUGGCUGCUGUUCUUUGCCCUUGUGACGCCCUGCCCACAUUGAGGAGGGAUGUAUAUUCUGACUGGCUGUAUUCUUAGUGGGCAGGAUUCCAUUCUUUCUGGUCCAUUGCCCAUCCCCAUUGCAUUAUAACGGGAGCCCAGUUUCUGAAAGUAGGGGUGGCCAUAUUCAUACUCUCAUUUUCAGCUUUCCUAUCAGUGCCUUGCUCUUGGGACUGAGUGGAAGUGGACCCUGGAGUUUGUUCCUCAAACCCGGACAUUUUAUUUUCUUGUUAUUUUUAUGGCUACGUCUGUGGUGUAUGGAUGUUCCCAGGCCAGGGGUUGAAUCUGAGUGGCAGCUGAAGCCUAUGCCACAGCCACGGCAAAACCAGAUCUGAGCUACAUCUGUGACCUACACCACAGCUUGUGGCCGCACUGGAUCUUUAAUCCACUGAGUGAGGACAGGGACCAAACCCACAUCCUCAUAGAGCCUAUGUUGGGUCCUUCACCUGCUGAGCCACACUAGGAGCUCCUGGGCAUUUCACUCUUUUUUUUUUUUUUCUUUUUAGGGCCACACCGGAGGCAUAUGGAGGUUCCCAGGCUAGGGGUCGAAUCGGAGCUGUAGCCGCUGGCCUAUACCAUAGCCACAGCAAUGCCAGAGCUAAGCCUCCUCUUAGCUGUGACUUACACCACAGCUCACAGCAACUCCAGAUCCUUAACCCACUGAGGGAGGCUAUGGAUCGAACCUGUGUCCUCCCGGAUUCUAGUCGUAUUCAUUUCUGCUAAGCCACUAUGGGAACUCC
rnacentral:lncRNA from 1 species